rnacentral:lncRNA from 1 species
AAUCACUCAGCUGACGGGCAGGCUCCUUAUCGUGGAUGCAGGAGAGGGACCACCAGAAAGGCCCCACCAAAAAAAAAAGCACAUCUGGGCAGAGAGUGUCGGAACAGAAGAGCUAUGUUGUCCCUUGCACCUUGAAGUGAUGAGCAUUGGCAGAUCUCCUGAUCUCAGCCUGGGGCUGCUGACGGUUCAGGUCCAUUUCAGAGAGAGAGAGAGAGCAACAUGCAUGGGGUGAACCUCAAAAGAGAAAAUCUGUGAGUCUUAGGUUUUCCUCUGCUACUCCUCAGCCUCUCGUGCGUUCUGUUUGUUCAUCUCUCUCUCUCUCCUCUCUUGUAGCUGAGACAGGCUGUCUAGACAUUGCAGAUGUGGACAGAUGUUGGGUCUGUAAUUUAUAACAACGGCCUCCAGAAGGCAAUUCCAAUUUGUUUCGAUGUGAGCGCUCUACACUGGGCUCCUGAAACCAUGCCUGCUGCUGGUUGUCCGGCCUCCCAUCAUAGUGGACUCUUAUCCUUCUGGAACACAGGCUCAAGGGAACUCUUUGUUCUAUAAGUUGCCUUAGCUAUGGUGUUUUAUCACAGCAACAGGAAGGUAACUAAGACAGAUCGGGAACUGACCAAGUUUGCGUAAUCAUAAGGUUUUCCCAAGGUGCAACAUGUUCACAGACAGCUGUAGUAGGAGCUGGAGGGAAGGCCAGGCUGGUACUUUUGCAAUUGCUAGAGGAAGUCUUUCCUAGAGGCUGUUUUCAGUGUGGCACAGUGUAGACCUCCAGGAAAGGUAGACAUGGUGGGAACGUGCUUUGUAACCACGAGCAUCGAGCAAAGAAGCUAGAGACCUAAGUGUGCUCCACCACUGCCCAGGCAGAUUUGUAAAACCCUGAGCUCUGAGCAUCUAUCUGCUCCUUGAAGACUUUUGUGCCUGGUGCAUUCAACUCUGAUGCCUUCAGAGGUGAGUGGAUUUCCAUUCCAGAGAAUGAAAAAAAUGAGCAGAAACCCUGCUGAACCUGGGGGCCACUGAGAAGAUGCCUCAGAGCCCCGGGCCGCAGUUAAGGUGACGAGAUGCAGCAAUUCUUUAUGAACAUUUCAUUCCUGCUCGCUACACGACGUAAAUUAGAUGGUGUGUUACAUUCGGGCAAUAAGAGAGAUAUGUCACCACGACGCUGGCCCAUUGGAUGGAGAGGGGGUUUGGCGAAGAGCGGAAAGGAUUUCACCCUGAUGUGCACACUACUGAGUGACCCCGCUCACCAGCGGCUCUGCUGAUUGCUUUGCACCUUGCAGACUUCGAUACUGGCUCAGCCUCUUGCCGGCCUCGCUCCCUCCGCUCCCUCUGGGUCUCCAGCCCACCCUUCCCCUGCCUGGCUUUCUCUUGAAGCCAAAGCCAAGAGACCUAACAGAGGAGUCACAAAGGUCACGAAGGGAUGGAUGUCUCUGUGGGGAGGAGCAGGGCGGCAGAGCUAACACCAAAAUAAAACAAAAA